CGGACUCGCCCGCAGCACAAUGAUGAUGUCACUGACUCUGCUGCUCUUCUCCCUGGAGCUCCUCGUUCAGGCUUCAUCAGAAGAACUCCUGACUCCGACUACUGGAGCUCAGUCUGUAGUUCAAGGACAGACUGUCUCCAUCACAUGUACAGCCAGUCAAAGCCCUAGCUACUGCUUCAACUGGUAUCUUCAGAAACAAGGAGAAGUCCCUAAACUUCUUGUUCGUUGUACAAGCACUCGUCAGUCUGGAGUUUCUGAUCGUUUCAGUGGAUCAAACUCUGGAUUAGAUUACACUCUGACCAUCAGUGGAGUUCAGCCUGAAGAUUCAGGAGUUUAUUACUGUCAGACUGGCUACAGCAUUAACAGUCAGUCUGUGUUCACACAGUGA